UUUUUUUUUUUUUUUUAAAAUAUGAAAAUCCAGGAAUUUUUUUCAAUUCCCGGGAAUCCCGAGGGGUCAAAGGUCAGGGUCGGGGCAGUCCUGGGUCGGAAUUUUGGGAAUUCCAACCUGUGCCCAUCCCCCACCUCGCCAGGAGAGUCUGGGAAUGUGCAGAAAUAAAUACAGGGAAAAAAAAAAAUCCAGGAAUUCCGGGAAUUCCAGCGGGAAUUCUGGGGGGAAAUAUGGAAUUGUGGGAGGAAAAAAUGGAAUUAUGGGAAAAAAAUAUGGAAUUUGCUUGGAAAAAUAUGGAAUUAUGGGGGGGAAAUGGAAUUAUGGGAGAAAUAUGGAAUUUGUUUGGAAAAAUAUGGAAUUCUGGGGAAAAGUUGCAGAUUUUUUAAAAAAAAAAAUAUGGAAUUGUGUGGAAAAAUGGAAUUGUGGGGGAAAAAAAAGGAAUUUUUUGGGUAAAAUAUGGAAUUAUGGAAAAAAACUAUGGAAAUAUGGGGGAAAAUAUGGAAUUUUGUGGGGAAAAACCUGGAGGUUUUUUUGGAACUCAAUGGAAUUUUUUUUUUUGGGAAAAAACGUUUUUUGGGGGAAAAACGAUGGAAGGAUGGAGAGAAAACAUGGAAUUCUGUGGGAAAUUAAUGGAAUUUUUAAAAAAAAAACAUUUCUAUGGGAAAAACAUGGAUUUUUUUGGGAAUUCAUGGAAUUUUUGGGGAAAACCUGGAGUUCUGUGAGAAAUUAAUGGAAUUCUGUGGGGGAAAAAAAGAUGGAAUUUGGGGGGAAAACGAUGGAAUUCUGCUGGAAAAAUAUGGAAUUCUGAGGGGAAUUAAUGGAAUUCUCUGAGGAAAAUGGAAUUCUGGAGAGAAAUUAAUGGAAUUCUCUGGGAAAAACAGGGAAUUUUGGGGAAAAAUGGAAUUUUGGGGGUUGGGAGAGGAUUUUCCAAGUCCAAGGUCGGUGCUGGAGGUUGGAGGCGGCGACUCCCAAAUUUUUUGGAAUUUUUUUUCCAGGAAAAGGGCAGAAA